rnacentral:rRNA from 1 species
AGGGUUUGAUCCUGGCUCAGGAUGAACGCUAGCGGCAGGCCUAACACAUGCAAGUCGAGGGGUAACAGGGAGUGCUUGCACUUUGCUGACGACCGGCGCACGGGUGCGUAACGCGUAUACAAUCUACCUUGUACUAGAGAAUAGCCCAGAGAAAUUUGGAUUAAUGCUCUAUGGUCUAUUAUUGUGGCAUCACAUAAAUAGUAAAGGUUACGGUACAAGAUGAGUAUGCGUCCUAUUAGUUAGUUGGUGUGGUAACGGCACACCAAGGCUACGAUAGGUAGGGGCCCUGAGAGGGGGACCCCCCACACUGGUACUGAGACACGGACCAGACUCCUACGGGAGGCAGCAGUGAGGAAUAUUGGACAAUGGAGGCAACUCUGAUCCAGCCAUGCCGCGUGCAGGAAGACUGCCCUAUGGGUUGUAAACUGCUUUUAUACAGGAAGAAACACUCCCUCGUGAAGGGAGCUUGACGGUACUGUAAGAAUAAGGAUCGGCUAACUCCGUGCCAGCAGCCGCGGUAAUACGGAGGAUCCAAGCGUUAUCCGGAAUCAUUGGGUUUAAAGGGUCCGUAGGCGGGCAAUUAAGUCAGGGGUGAAAGUUUGCGGCUCAACCGCAAAAUUGCCUUUGAAACUGGUUGUCUUGAAUUACUGUGAAGUGGUUAGAAUAUGUAGUGUAGCGGUGAAAUGCAUAGAUAUUACAUAGAAUACCAAUUGCGAAGGCAGAUCACUAACAGUAUAUUGACGCUGAUGGACGAAAGCGUGGGGAGCGAACAGGAUUAGAUACCCUGAUAGUCCACGCCGUAAACGAUGGAUACUAGCUGUUCGACAUUUAUGUUGAGUGGCUAAGCGAAAGUGAUAAGUAUCCCACCUGGGGAGUACGUUCGCAAGAAUGAAACUCAAAGGAAUUGACGGGGGCCCGCACAAGCGGUGGAGCAUGUGGUUUAAUC